rnacentral:rRNA from 2 species
CACCGGCGGCCCGAGUGGUGAUCGUGAUUAUUGGGUCUAAAGGGUCCGUAGCCGGUUUGGUCAGUCCUCCGGGAAAUCUGAUAGCUCAACUAUUAGGCUUUCGGGGGAUACUGCCAGACUUGGAACCGGGAGAGGUAAGAGGUACUACAGGGGUAGGAGUGAAAUCUUGUAAUCCCUGUGGGACCACCUGUGGCGAAGGCGUCUUACCAGAACGGGUUCGACGGUGAGGGACGAAAGCUGGGGGCACGAA